UAUCUACAGCUUAUGUUAGAUGAAUAUAUUAUUUUCUAAAAUAACUCUUAAAUAUCUUUCUAGAUUUGUUCUAAUAGUUCUAAUGGAAUGUAGUCAGAACCCUUAAAUGUUUAACUUAAAUUUGAUAUCUUGCUCCACCUACCAAAAUAAGGUGAAAAUACUCGAUGCUUAUUUUCACUUACUAGAACAUAAAUAUGUUAAUUUGCUGCUAAAAUCAAUAAAUAUGGUGGACACUGAUGUUUAGCAUUUGCUAAAGCUAUGAAGAAUGGAGAGAAUAGCAGUAUUCUGCAAAGUUUCAAAGUGAACAGCCCCAUACACACAUACAUGUAAAAGGAAGCAUACAUCCAGUAACUUGCAGGAUAUAAUGGCUAGUUAGUAUGGGGUAGUUAGUGUGGUCGUUGGCUUGCAUUAUUUGUAACAAAGUAAUCAUUUUUUUCAAUGUAGGGUUUACCUGGAUGUCUGUUAUCUAAUUUUAGUAAUUUCAACAUGGGAGAACUAGACCACUGCCACCCACAGCUACUGUGCUAAGCACAAAUGAAUUGCAGUGUAAUCUGAACAUUGUGUUCACAUAGUGAUCAGAUUGUAUCAGGGCAUUUGUUUAAAGACAUUUCUUGUUUGAGUUCAUAUAUAUCUCAUCAUUAUGGGAGAAAGUAGGGCAAAUCCAUAAGGCAAUUUGAAAUAUACCUACUAAUAGGGAAUAUUAUUAAAUAUGCUUGCUUUCUUGUACUGUUGUAAUUAGCUUUGUUAUCAGUCUGUUUUCUUCCAUUCUGAUUUGUCCACUGUGCACAUUUUGAAUACCUACUAUAUAGAAAACAUUAUAUAUAGAAAACAACAUUAAGCUAAAUACUGAGAAGUGGAAGAUACAAAAAUCAGUAACAGUUUGUGCUUUUAAGCUCAGAAUAGAAGUCAUUUCAGAAACUGAAUUAUCAGUUGAAGAGAGAAGAUGCUGUUUGUUAGAAGUAUGCAGGGAGCCUGUAAGAGAGUGCCUUAGGAGUACUUAGGAGUAAACUGUAUUUGCUUAUCUGUGUAAUGGAAUCAUAAGCUCCCCAAGGGAGGGGCCUUGCUGAUUUGUGUCCCCACGCUCUGGUACGUAGUCACUUUUCAGAAAAUACUUUUGAGUGAAUGAACAAAUGUAGAACUCUCUACAAACUUGGCAGUAAACACAAAGAGGAAGAAGGACAUUAGCUAAACUCAGUGAUGUGUUCAAGGAAAUGGAUUGUGGAUUAGCCUCUGGAUCAGGAAAUCUGAAAGUGUCCGUAGACAAAAGGAAAGGAACCAUUGGAGAGAAAACGGAAGAUGUAAAUGAAGGAGGGACUCAUUCAUGGAAUAAAAUUCCACAGGGACUGUGUGAUAGGGGAAAAGUUAGCCUUAGGAAGGAGAUCCCUGUGUACCCUUACAUAGGAGAGAGAGAAGGGUUUGGAAUUUAUUACAAUAUGUUAGUAAGGGCUCAGGUAAAAUUAAUUAGCAUUAAUUAAUAUGCUGAUAAGUCCCACAGCACUUUCAAUUAUAGUGGCCUAAUAACUGAAGAAAAAUGCAGGUUGAAAAUGUUCAAAAUUGUGUACAUGCCAGUGGUUACGCACCGUGGCUCCCAGUGAGAAAUGGUGCAUUGUAAUUAUCAGGUCCAUUUGUCAUAAACUUUUGAGGGUGAAGGGCUCCUGCAAGUGCCAACAUCUCAUAGUGCCAGGGGAGGAGAUAUACCUCCUUGUCCUGCUGAAUAAUUGAAAAGUUCUGUCUCUGCUUAGUGCUGAUUUGGGAUAAACAUGAUGGACAGAUUUUUUUUUUUUUGGAGCCUGUUUUCUUCAUUUUUUCCUCCUUCCUAGGAGACUGAUUUUCUUCAGCAGUGUUUUACUGGGAAGCCUGGCCAGUUUCAUGUAUUGUUUAUCAUAGUGGGUAUCACAUUGAAUGGCAAGAUUGUCAUUUGAAGGAGUUGGGUUUGGUGACUAAGAUCACUGGAGACAUCUCUAGCAACAGCACACUCAUUGGACUGGCCCUGUCUCUAGGACAGAGGGUAUGGUAAACAAGCGAUGACUGACUUCAAGGCACAUGCUGAGCUAUUAUUGGGUAGCCCGUGAGGCACUUAAACGUAAACUCAAAACCUUGCAACCUGCCCCUGGUUUAUAAGAGUGAGAGUGUACUUUGCCUGCAGGUGCAGAUUUAAGAACAUGAAGGAGCUAGUGGUGGCCAGCUUCAGGAAGCACAGUGCCCAGGGCCAUGACAACAGUUUAUAUCAGGGUGACCACUGAGUGCCCCUGUGGUCCUCAAACAAUUCUCACGUUCAGAGGAUGGCUCGUGAGAUGUGACUCAAGGCUGUAAAUUCUCUUCCAUUUUGAGAAAUCAGUCCAUAGUCUUGAAAUGCUGAAAUAGCAAAGCGUCCUUGAAAAACAUUUUAGUUAUAGAACAAUAAUUACAUAUAUAACAAAAAUUAUAUAUAGUAGUUAUAAAGUAAUAAGUAGAAAGCCCUUCCCCCAAUUCUUAUAUGUUUUGACAGUUUCUUGGAUAGCUUUUCAUAAUUUUCAUGUUUUUUCCUUUUUUUACACUCUUGCAUGCUUUUUAAAAAUUAUUUUUUAAAUGAAUGAUAUUGUAUAUCUAUCUGUUUAGUGGUGUCAUUUAUGCACUUACUGAUACUGGUGUCCCCUACUUUUCGAAAGUUCUCUUUAUUCUACUUCAUUUUAAAGAAAGUCCUACUUUAGUGCCUAUUUUCUCUAACCAGAAGAAUUCCAAGGAGGAUUUUUGCUUUUAUGAAAAAAAGCCAAAAUAGCCUUCAGUGUCUGUUUUCCAGCUGGCUAUUACAGAGGCGAUGUACAUCCCAGUCAGUGAAAGUGGCCCCACUAACGUCUUUCCCCAGGAACCACACUCAGCAUCUCGGUGUCCAGCUUCCAUAGCUUUGAACUCUGUGAGCAUCUGUGCUUAUCUCGGUUUAUUUUGUGCACCCAUUAGCAGGAUGUGUCCUAAGGUAAUUGCUUCUUUGCUUUAUUCCGUUUUGGCGUAUGAAAGGUUUUAUAGGACUGCUGUUCUUUCAGAUAGUUGGUGAAACGUGUUUAUCUAGGACACCUUUCCUCAGCUAGAUGAAAUGAAACAUGACUUUUUUAAACGAGCUUCCUUUUGACAGACAUUAGGAUGAUUUUCCAGAUUUUUCUUUCAUUAUUGUACAUUAAUGUUAGAGCUGUAAUAUUGUCAUUAUAGUCUCCUUGUACAAAUAUUUUUGCGUACAUGAAAGAAGAAAUAUAAAGAAUCCUGGUCCUAAAAGUCAAAUUUGUGGGUCAAAAGCAUGUAGGUUUCUACAUUUUUGUAGAUAUUACCAUUGUUCCACAAACAUUUAGUAUCAGUUUAUACCUCUCCUAGUGGUAUAGUUGAGCACCCCAUCCCCCAGAUUCUUGAUCGUCAUUGCUCAUGUGUUAGUAUGCUGUUUUAAUUUGCAUUUCUUAAGUUAUGAGUGUUUGAAGAUGUUUUCAUGUUUAUAGAUCAUUUUUAUUUUUCAGUGAAUUGUCUGUAGUCAUUGCCCAUUUCCCAGAGAAUUGUCUUUUUCUUAGCAAUUUGUCAAGACUGUGCAUAUUAAUAUUUGGUGCAAAUAUUUUCGUUGGUGUAUUGUUUGUUUUUGUUUAUAAUUGAUUUUUUGUUUGAUUUAUCUUUUAUAAAAUCAAUUGUGACCUGUUUUUGACUUCUACAAUUAAAAAAAUCAUGAAGUCCUUCCUGUGUUUUUUCUUCAAGUAUUUCUGUAGUCUCAUGUUGUAACUUUAGCCUUGUGGUGUACCUGGGAUUUGUCCUGUAAAGGAAUGAAGGUAAGGAUUUAGUGAAAGUUUUCCAAAUGGCUAGCAGUUGUCUCAACAUCAUUUUUUGGAGCAUUUUCCCAUCUUCCCAUUGAAUCCUUGAAUUUGGGAUUUUCUGACUGAUAAAUGUAUGGCACUUAUAGUAACAUCUAAACUAAGGGACUGAUUUUCAUGAGAAUGUAUAUUUCAUUGGGUGCACUUAAACAGAUAGGCAUUGUUUUUAUAGAAAUUUGAUUCUAUGAUUUGUUGAAAUUUAUGAUUAACUUAAUGCAACUCUGAUUUUAUUAAACAGGAGACCUCAAUAUAGGAGUCUUGAAGUGGAGUUUUAUGAUUAGUAUAACUUAAAACUGAGUAUAAAAUUACUUGCCUUAAUUAGCUGUAAAACAUGUUCUCCUGAGUAUUAAAAUCUCAUUAGUUUAUCAUUAAAGGCCUUGACCAAAGUGGGAGCAGUGAAAAUUGUAGAAUUUGAAGAAUUGUAUCAGAUAUUUGUUGUUGCAUUUUCUGGGUUGGAUGGAUUGGUUCAGGGAAUAUGAUAGAGCUGUAAUUUGUAUGACAAAACAUACUAUGACUGAAGCAAAAGGGGGAAAUGAAGCUGUGAACAUAGUAUGCAUGAGGCUAAAAGUUACUCAAGGGAAAGAUUUGAGUUUUGAAAGAGGCAGCUACUUUUUUAUUUUUGCCAAAGAAUGCUAGCAAAUAUGAGUUGAGAAGAGCUGUGAGUUCUCUUUGUUGAUGUAAGAUACAAAUUUGAGAUUUUUAGGUAAAUGCUUAAGGCUUAUAGAAAAAGUGUAUCUAUUGAUUAUUUAUGUUUUCUUUGAAAUUUAUUGCAAUGGAAAACGAGAAUCUAUGACAUACGUGAUAAAGGAGGCAGCACUGACUGCUUACAAAUAAGACCAGCAUGCAGUUUUCCUUGAUGAAAAUUUGAAUGCAUCAAAAUAAAAAGCUUACAGAAUCAUCUUAUGAACAUCCAUGGGAAAAUGAUCUUCAAAGCUUACUGAAUUUGUUUUUAAUAUUUUCACUUGAGGCAAAUCAUACCCUAAAUCUAGAUAUGACUCAAAACAGUUCUUUACUUGUUUAUUCUAAAUAUUUAAGUAUAAAUUACAGUUUAUUACUUUAAAGGAUGGUUCAGAGACCUAGAAACUUGAGAGUCAAACCAUUUAGCUUUGUAACAGUUGUCUAGAUACUAAAUUUAGUUGGACUUCACAUGAAAAAAAUCAAAGAAGAUAAACUAAUUCAGAUGUGUUUAUGACCCCUGAUUUAAGACAAACAUAGAGCUUAAAUUGAAUCAUGUGUAUAUAUUUUGAUAUUUUUUGGUAAGGUGCCAUAUUCAUAUACAGUUAAAGAAUUUCAUUGGUAUAGAUCAAGCAGAAAAAUGCAAAACAUUAAACAAUGUGUAGACUUGAGUGGUAAUUCAUGUAUUUUAUUUAGUGGAUAUUUAUGAAUAGCAUAAAAAUUUAUAAGAUAUUCAUUUUCAUUACACUAAAGUUAAGGCCAUCUCUUUUAGUGGAACUUUGGCUGCAGAGUUUCUGAGUUUUAAAUUGUGGCUUCAGGUGACUGAAAUACUGUUACAGUAAGUAAUUUGGAAAGCUUCUUGGCUCAUUUAGCCUUACAAAAUAGUCUGAGAUGUUUACACUUGUUGUUGAAACCACUGAGGCUGUACAAAUGAAAGAGAACUAAUUUUCAGGAUUAAUGUGGGGUUUUGAAAACAUAGGCUUCACACUAAAAUAGAGACCAGGGCUUCCCUGGUGGUGCAGUGGUUAAGAAUCUGCCUUGCAAUGUAAGGGACACUGGUUUGAUCCCCAGUCUGGGAAGAUCCCACAUGCUGUGAAGCGCCGCAGCUCCUGAGCCUGUGAGCCACAAGUACGGCAGCCCACGAGCUUGAGCCCAUGCUCAAGCCACUGCAGUGAGACGCUCUCACACCACAGUGAGAGAGUAGCCCCCACUCGCCACAGCCAGAGAAAGCAAAGACCAGCACAGCCAAAAAAGUUAAAAUUUUUUUUUAAAAAUUAAGAAGAGACCAAUUGGUGGCUGACAUUCACUUGCAUCAUAAGAACUUGCUUCUGAGUGGGUUUUGUUUCCAGCCCUACAGUCUCAUUCUGUUGUCGCUGAUACAUACUGCCUUCCUUAGCAUUAUAACCCAGACCUAAGAAAAAAAGUUAGGAAAUAAAAGGCUAGGAUCCCACUCACUGAGGUUUGGAGCCAUCUUUCAAUUUAGCAUUUGGCUUCCAGCGCUUACAACGUUCAGUGUUUGUUGAAUGAGUGAGCACUUACUUUGAUUGUAGAAACAGGUUAAUUUUCGUCUACGUUACUGUUGGAAUGAGGAGUUCUUAGAAUACACAAAAAUGUGUUUCUUAGGGCCAGACCAUUCUUCUGGUUCAUUAUUACACUUUUCUUUCUUGCCUUGGUUUAUGUGCAUAACGAAGAGCUUAGUUGCUGUCUAACACCAUUAACUUCAUUAAUGAUAUUGUUAUAUUUAACUCUGUAAGAAAUAAACAUUUCAUAAUCUCAGGAGAUGAAUGAAUAAACUACUCUGACUUUGUUGAACCACCUUGGAAUUAAAUUGUCGUUAUUGUCAUACCUAGCAGCUGACAGGGUAAGAAGAGUACCCUCUCAUUCUAAGUAAGGUUACGAUACACUGGAUGGGAAUGUGUACCUUUUCAUUUUUCUGAGAUUAAUAGUGGCUUCUGAUAUUUUACAUUUCAGUGUCAUGUUAGAGAUUUCAUUUCAUGACCUUUUGUUCAUUCACAUGUAUUUUUGUUUUUAGCUCUAAAGGAAAGACAUGAGGCCUAAGACUGAAAUGAGGUUGUUUUGAGGUCAUCUGAUUUCUGACUAGAAGGUGUGCGAUCGCCUCGUCCUGAAACCACUGCAGACAGAAUGGUUUGCAAUUUUUUUUGGUGAUGGCAUGUUCAGAAUCUUGGAUCCUUAAGUUGACUAUGUUGGAAAUAUUUAGGAACUCUGGAAAUUGUUGUUUUUGUAUAUAUAAUGACUUACUAGGUGAAUCAAUAAUUUAUUAAAACAUAUAGAAGAACAGGCAUUAUAAUUUUGUAUUUCUAAGUUAGCAUGCAUGUCUCAAAUUCUCAGCCGUUAGUAUCAAUGUCAUACUCUGGAGACAGUUAUCUUUUGAAGAUCUGGCAGUUUAUAUAAUCUUCCCAUGCCAAUUUGAUCAACUUUUUUGCCUUUCUCUCUACCACAUGUAGUGUCGCUUCCUCAGAGGCGAUUCUUGAUCAGGAGGAGAAACAUGAAAUAAUUGUCAGGUGAUAGUCCUAAAGGUAGUAAUUACAAAACUUCAAUCUGGAAAUGGCCUCAGCAUGGUCAUAGCAGGAUAUGCAAAUUCUACCCAAUAGAUCCAGAUACACCAGUGGCAAAAUGCUGCCAGUUUUCAAAUGAGAUAUUAUCAUGUGGGACGGAAAUGCCAAUAAAGAGGGAAAGGAGCCGCUCGGUUCGCCUGCUUCUCUCUCCCUGUUGUUGAAUGAAUGAAUUAGGAAAGGAAAAUGGCCAUGAAACAGACUGUGUGAAUGAAAAGGAGAAGGAACAAAACUUGACUUUCCAAGAAGGACUAUUUCCCUUAAAAAUGGAAAGUUGCCUGUAUUCCACGUGCACUGUUUUAAAACUGGGGGUUACUCUGAAGGAGACCCAGAACGUGAACUAGGGGAUUCUCUACCUAGGGGAUGGAUGGAGAACUGGCGUUUGACGGGAGAAUUGGGCAUUCUUUGGGUGACUGGAGUGCCGUGAUUGGUAGGUGUCCUCUCUGGCUUGUUCAUGCUGGGAUUAAGAGAUGUAAGCAUUCUGGGAUGGGUAGUUACGUUGAUGGUCAAAUAUGAUUGCCUCCCUUUUCUUUUGACCAAAACUGGGGAAAGGUUGAUUUUUUUAAGACCAUAUUCAGAGCAAUUGAAAGAAGAUUAAAGGGAAAGGAUGAGGAGAAUUCAAGGAACUUUAGAGACUGAGUGCUAGCUCAGUAGGGUGUUAAUUAUUUAUUCCAAGUUUUAUUAUUAGUAGAUAAUCCAGUAAUACAGAAAUUGGUAGAACAGAACUUUUGAUAACGUUUCUAUUAGAAGGCAUGUAGAACCUAAUAAACUAUAUAGAAUAUACUGUAACUGCAUCCUCCGUCCCCUUGCUUUGCUUGGUUUAAUAGUAAUUGACUGAUAUAUAUUUAAUAAAUGGCACAAUGAAAAAAAUCAGAAUUUUUUAAAAAUCAAGUUACAUUUUACCCUAAGUAUGUAUUGCCUAUUUAGCUGCUUUCCCAUUACAACUGACUUUUUAAAAAACCUGUCCUUCUUGAUACUUUUGUUAAUGGAGGUGUUUCCUCUUAGCCAAUUCUAGCCACAGUAUUGACUGGGCCUAGGCAUUUGAUAUACCCCAAAGGAAUCAGCCAGGAAAAGACUUGGUCCCUACUGGAAUGAAUAUUUUAAAGACCUUAGAUUCUGAACACUGUGAGUACAAAUGAAAGAGACCCAAGAGAGGGAAAAACUUAAGAGCCCAAGAAUAAAGAUGAUGGUGGGGAUGAGGGGAGGGGUAAGCUCUUAUAUAACUAAGCUAAGGUGCUUGAAGGCAGGGAAUUGGUUUCCUGGAGAUUAUGAGAUAGUAUGGGAAAUCCCUUGAGCAGUAGGCAUUCUGAUGUUAAUUUGGGUAGUUCACACUGGCAUACUGUUAUUUUAAAGACAGUGGCAGGUGAUAUUGGGAAACACAAGUGUGUUUCCUAGUAAUGAGUUUGAUUUCAUUCUGGUAUGUUAUGAAUGGGCAUGUGGCUCAAAGAUUAGCUUAAUUCAAAAUAUCUUAAAUAUUAGAGAAAAUACCAUAAAAAUGGGUCCUUUGUCCCUGUUGUAUAACUUCAGGAAAUAGUGUAGAAUCCUGAACAUAGUGGAGAGUUGAUGGCAUGAAUAUAGUCAGUAUUUGAUGGUUGCCUUCUAGAAACUUCUAAAUGAAACCUAAAGUUGUUUUACGUUGGCCUCAAUUGUACAACAGUAGCAUUUCUAGUGUGUGUCCCACGGGAAGUCUGUACCCUCUUGGCUCACUGCAUGUCACAGCCUUACACAUCACUGUGAGGAUUCAGAGACUGACUCAGUUACCUAAGGUUGGUUGGAUAUUUGGGGAGAGUCAGUACACAGCAGCACACACAAGAAAGUGAGCCUCAGACGACGGCUGUUUGUAUUUUGGAAGUUUUAGACCCUGUUUGGAAGAUCAGAAGAAAGCUUUGGAUCAUUUCCACAACAAAAGUAGUUUCUGAGUGUACAGGCUGGUUGUCAUUCAGGAAGCCCUGAUCUUAAAGACCGUCUUCAUUUCACACCUGACCUUGUUCCGGCUUUGUUGUCACUCCCCAUCAGUAGUUGUCUGUCACCUUUGAAUGGAGCACCCGAUCUUGAGGGGUACUUACCGCCUUACACACUGAACUGUUAAAGCCACAAGUCCAGACCUCUGUGACGUCACGGUGAAAAAGCUUUCUGCAAGGGGCUGCCGCAAAGGUGCAGAUGGAUAUCACAUUCAUAGUACGAAUGAAAUGUGUACUUCAAAUGAACACAGUGACUGGAAAUGUGGGAUUCUGCUAUUUGUGACUCUGAAAUUUGUAGCACAUUUUCAGGAAAAUUGUUGAGAUUCCCAGAUACUUUGUUCUUUAUUCCUUGAAGGUUUUCUUGAGUGUAUGAUUAUUUCUGAAUUUUGUUAAUCUAUUUAUAACUUUAGAGAAAACUGCCUUCAGUUCAUGUUUUGACUCAGAAUACUUGGAUUUAUCUUAAAUUAGCAGUGUGUUUUGAAAAAAAUUCCAUUUUUAGUAGCUCUCAUCUCCGUUUUGGAAUCUCAGAUCAACUGUUCGUUACAGCGUUCAUUGGGACUUUUCUGCAAAAUACAACUCCACUGAGAAGGUCAUCCUUGAAAAAUCAAGAAAUCUGAAGAAAGUAAUUUUGGGAUGAGUAGAAAGAUGGAAGAUCAUCAUAUUACAGCGCAGCACACUGGAAACACCUUAGACUUCACUGCUUUUGUACGUGAAACACAAUUUGAAUGUCUUCUGUGAACUGGACUUGUAGACAGAUAAAAUGUAUCUUGACUAAGAAAAGCACAGCUCUAGCCUCUAAAGCAGUGCCGUCAGGACAGCUGACUCUUGAUCGUUCACACUGGUGGAGGGAGCCUGGCUCUUUCAACCUGACUCAAGUUAAGAGUCAUGCAUUCCGAUUCAAAGGUGUUUCCGUGUUCCUUUUGGAAUAUAGUGUUUGGAUUUUACAAUAUGUGCCUCCCAAUUGCACCUGCCCUGAGGGAAGAGCCUGAGUUCAUCUGUGCCCCGAUGCUUGGUCUCUGCCUUUUGUUUCUGAACUCUUGACCUAAACGUGGAGAAAGCAUUGAGUAUAAAGGAUUCUAGAAUUGAUCAGACCUGUUAAGUCUGUUCCACUUCUCCUUCCUGGGUAAUUUUAUUCCAUUUCCUUUUCAGCUCUUCUAAACAUAGCCCAAUUUCUGGCCCUUUGUCUUAGGUCAGGAUAGAAUUCUAUAACCACUGUCCAGGCUUCUUCCCUCUCGUCAUAUUUUGUUCCGCCUGCAACGGGCGGUUCCUGCUGCUCUACUCUGAAGCAGUCUCCUCGUGUCCUUGCAUUUCCAUCUCCCUCCCUGCAUGUUCUCGUGGGGAAAUAGGAUAGCGGCCGACUUAGCACUCCUGCCUAUCUAAGAUUUCCUGUAAAAAUCCACAGUAUUUUAAAGAGAUCUUCUCAGCUCAGGUGUUGGCAGGCACCUCCGAUUGUGCUCAGUCAGGUGUGGCUGGCCACUCUCCCUCGGUCCUCCUGAGAGCCAGGAAUGGACCUCAUCUCGCCCCAGGCACAGGAUGAGCCAGUCUGACUUCUCCGUACGCUUGCUAGUUCCUGCAGUCAUGAGUUAGUGAGAAAGUUAGAAGAGAUCCAUACGUUUCCCCCAGAUGCUAGUAAAACAAAGCAUGUGCAGAGAAAACGACAUCAAUAAGCUUUUGAACGCAAGAUUUGUCAAAGAAUAUGCCAGAUUUUAAGUUAACCUACACAAACCCGCAUUGACCAUCCAGUUUUGUCUUACUUAAAAAAAUACGCAAAUUAACAUAAUGCUUAGAAAAUACUACCAAAGUACCCGGACAUUUUCAAAAUGUGAUAGAUAGUAUCUCUAAACAUUUUUUUUUCACAAGUAGCUUUCAGAAACAUGUGCAAAUGUGUUUUGUGUAGAAGAGUAUAUACUGAAUAUAAUACUCUGUUAUUCUAAUAAAAUUAAAUCAUCUCAUUAUUUAAAGCCUAAUAGUUUGAAAUUGUUUUUUGAGUAAAACUUUUAUAGCAUGAAACAAUUUUCACUUCUCAUAGAAUGUACAGAUAUUCGUAGAAGCUGCUCGUGUGUGUGCGUUUUCCACAUAAAAUAAAAAUAUUGUAAACAGGGUCGUGUCUCCAGUAAGUUUCCAAACUUUUGGCUGUAAUUACCAAAUGCUUGGGAUUGGGUUGACUGGAAAUACAUCUCCAGUUUUUCUGUAUAUGUAGCAAAUUUUGUCCAAAUAAAGUAGCUUUG